rnacentral:sRNA from 1 species
GGGAAUAUCUUGCCUUCCAGCCCUCCAGCCCAUGGAGGAAGGCCCUGCAAUGACAGAGCCCCUGGGGAAAGAAUGCCAGGUGCAUCCAGGAACUGGCAGACACAGAGCUCCUGAUGGUCCCAGGGCUUCACUUAGCAUGGUUCCUGUUGCUAAGCAAUGGAAGUGCUGGACCUGUCAUCUAUCAUCUGCUGUCCAGCACUCCAGGGAUGCCCUGUGAAGUUCAAAUCUUCCAUGAACCAUCUCUCUCCCAAAGGCGUCUGGUCCACAGAAGGAAGCCAGGUCUCCCGGAUGACUGCAUCGUUGUUCCAUGGAGCUUUUAAAAUGCAAGUGUCCUGAAUGGCAGUGGUGCCAGGUGACAGCUGUGGGCACACCUCAUCCUGAAGCGCUGUAGGAACUGACACCAGUGAAUGCCAGAUAUGGGGAAAGGUGUCUGCCCAGUUAUCUCCUAGCUAGUUGAGCCUUCUAUAAAGAAUGUUAUUAAAAAGUCUGCAAGAGGCUGCACGGUGGGUUUCUUCCCUCUUUCCAGAGGAGAGGGUGGUUGAGGAGGAAACAUGCUUUGUCCACAUUCCUUUGUGUAUGGUGGGACUAUCACCGGUGAUGGAGGACCUGUGAGUACUUGGAACCUUAUCGGCCCUCAAACUUCAAUUGGCCCUUGCAUGUCAAUAGCAAGAAUGGUUAUUUCCUGGGGUUGGGGAUUUA